GCGCUCACGCGUGGGGGCGGCUCGCGGGAAGGCUCCGCGUGGGGACCCCCGCGGUGGAUCCCGGCCGGGGCGGUCACGGAAAUCACAGCAAGAAGUAUGAAAGAGCACCAUCAAAGAGCUGAGUGUUAAGGGAAAAGGGAAAACCCUUCAGCGUCGCAUGACCUCUUUAAAUACCUGCCGAGGAAUGACCCGCUGUGGGAAGAGCAGCAGAGAGAGUGUUUUGCUGCCCGGGGCAGGGUACCACCACCUUGAGACCCUCAGGUGCAGGAACACAGGCUGAAAGCCAGCGAGAGCUCAGUGUCCCCUGAUGUCUUUUCCCUGUGUCCAAGCAGACAAGUGUAAUUCAGCGGCUUGUCAUUCCCAGCACGUCCCAUGGUAUGUGAGAUGGAUCCAGACCGCUUGGCUGCUUUGUUGUUGGACAGAAGACCCAGUGGUGGGUGGCGGGCCUCCUCCAUCCACUCCACAGACAAGGAUAUCUUUAGGUCUGUGCUGAGGAAUGACGUAUAUUUUCUCUCUUCUUACAUCAUCACUCAAAGCCCAUGCUUUUCCAUACAAGCUGUAUGAAUUCUGAGCAUGUUUGGGCUUGAACACGGACUUGGAGCCAAGCCCACUGGCAGUGCAGAGGUGUCGUGGCUGCCCAGGGGGAUGUUUGCUUCAGCUCCUCUCCGAGGUCCUAUUUUGGUGAGGGAUUAGAGAAACGUCUCAGAAGUUUGUGAUCACUUGACCCUUCAGAUGGUGGAUGGUGAACCCCCAGCAGUGCUGCUGCCUUGACUCUCCUGCAUCCAGCAAAGGGAAAAGAUUUAAAAAAAAAAAAUUAAUAAUACUACUCUCCUGCCUUUUUUCUAAGCAGAGUCUGGAGCUGGUAGAGAGUCCAGGGAGGAGUUUGGGGGAUGCUUGUUUGGUUUACGGAUUGCUUUGGAGUGCAUAUCCUUAUCCACAUGCUUUUUCUUCAAAUCUGCAGGAAUAUUUGGCCCAAAUCUGGAGCAGAUGUUGAAGCGCUGUCAGGAGAGGUCCUCAACACUCGGCUGGACUGCAGCUUGAGAUAAGACCGGUCUGUGCAGAUCUCCGCCACGGUCCACAACAGAGAGUGGUGUUGGGUGACACAGACGGGUCCUGCCUGCGAGGACUGUUCCUGCCUCAUGUCCCUCUGUGCGGUGUCUGCCAGCAAAGAUGUGGAGGUGCAGAAGCCCCUGGAAGAGAACAGCUUUUAUUGUGGUUUAUCAGCUGAUGCAGAGGAACUCUUCACCAGGGCAGCCACAGAAAGAUAGAGCAGCUAAAUCCACAAAAGGACUUAGGUGAUACACCAUUCCUGUGCCCCUACACUCCCCACUGCCUGCUGGGCUCUUCCACUGCAGGAUAACGGGUGCAGCCCCCUUCCAGCCCCAGGAGCACGUCCAGAGGAGAGGUGUGAACCCAAUGCAUUGCUGGCUGCUUGGCAGAAAACCUGCGGCAGGAAGGCUGGUAUGGACAGGGGAGCUAAGAGGGAUGGCACCAGGGGAGUUUAAGGAUGCAAAAGCUCUUUUCGAGUCAGCUCACACAAGCUAAACAUCCAAGGCAGCUGGUGCACUGGGGGAAUAAUGUGGUAAGUCUCAACAAGGGCACAUGCUCAGCUGCCUCAGCCCUGAUCUCAGCACCAGAUAUGUGCUAGGCUGCCUCUGAGAGCAGUUGUUAACCUCCCAACAAAGAUGAAAACAUGCAUCUCAUUUCCUGAUGCCAUCCACAGAAGCUCCUACCUCUACACUUCCACCACUGCAAGCCCCCAGCAGCUGGUCAUAAACAGUUCCACGUGUUGGGGAAACGGAAAAUGUUAAGUAACAGAAAACGUGCCCUGUUUGUUUUGGAUUCGAUUGAUAAACACAAUGACCAUGUGAUAAUUCCCAACAUGUGUCAACUACUUAAGCUUCACAUCUCUCUUCCAACUUUCUGUGAAUGUCUUGUUGCUUCUGCGCUCCGCUGCUGAGAAGAAGCUGCAUGUAAAGGUGCUUCCCACGAAAAUGCUGGUUUCUUCCGCUGGCACUGGUUUCCUACAUGGAGGCACAUGCGGAGGGGAGGGCAGAAGCAAUGGAGUAAAGUUGCGUUCACGUGGGCAGUGAGAGGAGAUCCCCACAGUAUGGUGGGGAAGGCCAGGGAAGUGUUUGAGGACCUCAGGUUUUGCUAGUUUUCAUUUAUUGCAUCUGCAAACUUAGCACUCUUGGAAAUAUUACAGUUGUUGUUCCAUAGAAAGGAGAAGUGAAACAC